rnacentral:sRNA from 1 species
ACCAGCCCAGCCUUGGCCCCCUUGUGGCUGCAGCCUGUAGUGAUGGGGCCGUAAGGUGAGAGCAUAGGGCCCAGUGGGACGGGAGACAAAGGAAGUAAGGUUGUCUAGGAUGCAUUCUGAGCUGGGGCACCCCCCGCCCCCCAGGCUCUUUCUUUUGCAGGAUUCUGGGCGGAUUCUGCAGCUCCUUGCUGAAACCUUCCACCAUAAGCGAUGUGUCCUCAAGGUCCACUCCUUUACACACGAGGCACCCAACCAGAGGCGGAGGCUCCUCCUGUGCAGCGCAGCUACUGAUGGCAGCCUGGCCUUCUGGGAUCUCACUACCAUGCUAGACCAUGACUCCACUGUCCUGGAGCCUCCAGUGGAUCCUGGGCUUCCCUACCGGCUUGGCACCCCCUCCCUGACUCUCCAGGCCCACAGCUGUGGUAUCAACAGCCUGCACACCUUGCCCACCCGUGAGGGCCACCAUCUCGUGGCCAGUGGCAGUGAAGAUGGAUCCCUCCAUGUCUUUGUGCUUGCUGUGGAGAUGCUAGAGCUAGA